UUGGAUUUUUAACCAGUCAGCCUUUUCUUCAAGCCACUGGGUUUGCUCAAAAACGGAAAACAUCUAAGCCAACAUUUCUUGUGACGAAUUUUCUUUCCUAUGUGACAGAUGAGUUUUGAUUUCCAAAGGGAAUCGUUAAGUGUCAGGUACAUGUUUAAAUCACUUUUAUUCCUUGCUUUCUUACAUUGUUUUUGUGACUUCUAUUAUUGAUGUUAUAAUAGAAGUGAAAAGGGAUGACUAAGGAAAAACGGGGGGUAACGAAGGGGAUUAAAAUAUAAUGGCAUCUAAAAAUUACACAUUGGGAAGUCCUGAAAAAUAGUGCCUCUAACAUGUGUAUCUGGCAUCAGCCUCACCUAGUUGCCGGUAAGUCAGGUUACACUUGACCUCACCGGCUUCACGCAACUAGGCUCCCGAGGAGAGAACGGGGACUGGACAUGAGGGAGGGCAUAUAAGAAAUGGGCACAGUCUCCGUCAUCUUUGCCUUUUAAUAUAAGAUUUGGUUUCAUCAUUUCUGAGUGUAACAUAUUUCUUCUAAAAAUAGAGCUCUCUGCUUGUCUGAAACUUCUUAGCGUUCACUGGGAGGUGAAGGGGAAUAAGGCUGACCGUAAUUCUGGGGUGACGUUGCCAGUUUCAUAGUCAUAGAUAAAC
rnacentral:lncRNA from 1 species